AUUGUUCGCAAUGGGCGCAAGCCCGACGACGCAACGCCGCGUGGAGGAUGAAGGGCUUCGGCUCGUAAACUCCUUUCGACCGAGAUGAAUACCCGCAGGGCCAAUACCCUUGCGGACUGACAGUAUCGAGGGAAGAAGCCCCGGCUAACUCCGUGCCAGCAGCCGCGGUAAUACGAAGGGGGCUAGCGUUGCUCGGAAUUACUGGGCGUAAAGGGCGCGUAGGCGGAUAUCUAAGUUGGGGGUGAAAGCCCGGGGCUCAACCUCGGAAUAGCCUUCAAUACUGGAUAUCUUGAGUUCGGGAGAGGUGAGUGGAAUGCCGAGUGUAGAGGUGAAAUUCGUAGAUAUUCGGCGGAACACCAGUGGCGAAGGCGACUCACUGGCCCGAUACUGACGCUGAGGCGCGAAAGCGUGGGGAGCAAAC
rnacentral:rRNA from 1 species